GGUCGACUCAUGUUUAGUUGGGGUCGGCUCCAUUGGGGUCGGCUCAAGGAAUCUUGGGGUCGGCCCUCUCAGUGAAUUCCAAAGAGUUGUUUUCUUGAGGCUUCAAACUGGGGUCGGCUUAAGGUUCUUUGGGGUCGGCUCCUCACCUGGGGUCGGCUCAAAGAUACAUGUGGUCGGCUCCACUUACUGUUCAUCUGUGUCAUUUUUGCAGGGGUGUGCCAGAUGGUUCCAUGGUGUGCCAGGGUCGACUCCACUUAGCUUGGGGUCGACUCAAUCCACACUUUCCUGCAUCUUAAGGUUAGACUAAUUCAUAUAAUCAAUGAAACAUAUUUCAAGCAAUUUUGAGUGUAUGCCACUGUCACGCCCCCGGCCCGAGAUCGCGAGCCGGGGGUUGCGCCAACCGCCGCACACCCGUAGGAAACUCUCCCCACGAGCAUGCAAGGCAUCUAAACCAAAACACCUCAAUUAUGUAAUUCUAAAUUAUUCAACUGAAAUAAAUGCAAUCUUAUUCCAUUGACUAACUCAAGUCAUAAGGUCUCACAAGUCUAAAUACGCAGCGGAACAAUAAAGAUAAAACAUCAAUUUAAACAAAGCCUAAUCUAGGAUAACUUGUGCUUCCAUUCUUCUAGUCGCUCUCCCAUUUUAAAUCCCUGAUAGGUUAGUUCUCGGAAUCUGUAAAACAACAAGAAAUUGUAUAAUGAGCUAGACAGCCCAGUAAGUAAUAAACACCUUAACUAGUCAAUUCAUAUAAUAACAUAAAAUAUAAAUACAAAUUACGAUGACUCAACAUAAUAACAUAAUCAAUUCCUUUUCAAGCACAAAUUCAUUAAAAUCCAUAUCUUUCAAAUAUCCAUAUACAUAAUCAUAAAUCUGAUUCGAAACAAAUCACAUUCAUCUCAUCAGCCUUUAGCUACGACCACACUUAUACCCUGUGGCUAGGCCAGAAACAGAACCGCACUUAUACCCUGCGGAGUGGGCCAGAAUACCGCACUUAUACCCUGCGGAGUGGGCCAGAAUACCACACUUAUACCCCGUGGUGGGGCCAGAAUUGCCAAUGCAUAACCCCCUCUUGGCAGGGUCCAGAACAUAGCCAGGCUGAGAGUUCUAAAUCUGAUGUACAUCAAAAUUCUUUUGUAACAUAAUACAUGUAUCAUAAUCCGAUCUAAAUAUGCAUAUACGAUGCAAGAACAGUAAAUAUAGCAAUAAUCCGAAAAAUAUUAUUCCAGUUCACAUAUCCAUUUUUCAUUCAAAUCAUCAUCUCGUAAAAUUCAUAAAUCAAAUAUAAAUUCAUUAACAAUUUAUUCAAUGCAAAAAUAAUAUUAUAUAAAUGAAGAGUCUAGAGAAGGCAGUUCGUUACUUACAUUGAACGCGAUCCACAGUAAAUCCAAUUAAUCUCACAAAUUUCUCGCAGAACCUAAUAUCCAAAAAUCAUAUUUUUCUUUUAAAUUUCAUCACAAUAUAUAUUUAUAAAACUUAAAUUUUAACAUUCUCCCAGGGCCGAUCCUGCAGAAGUGUCUAGCGCCCCGGGUUCGGGUUCGGGUUCGGUUUCGGGUUCAUACCCGUAAACCACCCUCUCCCUUUAUUUAUUUAUUUAUUUUUUUUCUUUUCUUUUUCUUGCUUUUCUUUUCUUUUAUUUUCUUUUUCUUUUCUUUUUCUUUUCUUUUCUUUCCUUCCCUUCCAUUUUCUUUUUCUUUUCUCCUUCUCCCGAAGCUUCCUCUGACUUCUUUUCCUCCUUCCCCCCUUUCUUUCUUCUUUCUUUUUCUUUCUCCUCCUCUUCUCCCGACUUCUUCUCCUUCCCCCCCUUUCUCUCUUCUUCUUUCUUCUCCCACGAAGGGAGGUCGGCGAGCUCGGGAGACGUCCGCUGGCUCUCUCCUUCUUCCCAUGGAGGAGAAAGAGAGCUCAAGAGAGGAAGAGCCUGCGGCGGGGACCCGCAGCAUCGGCGGUGCUCGCGGCCGCACACGGGUAAGUCUCAUCUUCCCUCUCUUCUUCUUUCUUUCUUUCUUUCUUUCUUUCUUUUUUUUUUCAAAUGGUUUAAUAGAGAAAUGAAAUUAGGAACCUUACCUCUGCCUCGGCGAAGAUCCGGCGGCUUCCUCCCUCUUCGGCGGCUCUUUCCUCUCCGGCGGCAAUGGAACCACCCGGAUCAAAGAAGACCGGCUUCAAUGG
rnacentral:lncRNA from 1 species